UUCCGGUUGAUCCCGCCGGAGGCCACUGCUAUCGGGGUCCGACUAAGCCAUGCGAGUCAAGGGGGUGUCCCUCUGGGACACCACCGGCGGACGGCUCAGUAACACGUCGGUAACCUACCCUCGGGAGGGGGAUAACCCCGGGAAACUGGGGCUAAUCCCCCAUAGGCCUGAGGUACUGGAAGGUCCUCAGGCCGAAAGGGGCUUUUGCCCGCCCGAGGAUGGGCCGGCGGCCGAUUAGGUAGUUGGUGGGGUAACGGCCCACCAAGCCGAAGAUCGGUACGGGCUGUGAGAGCAGGAGCCCGGAGAUGGACACUGAGACACGGGUCCAGGCCCUACGGGGCGCAGCAGGCGCGAAACCUCCGCAAUGCGGGAAACCGCGACGGGGGGACCCCGAGUGCCGUGGCACCGCCACGGCUUUUCCGGAGUGUAAAAAGCUCCGGGAAUAAGGGCUGGGCAAGGCCGGUGGCAGCCGCCGCGGUAAUACCGGCGGCCCGAGUGGUGGCCGCUAUUAUUGGGCCUAAAGCGUCCGUAGCCGGGCCCGUAAGUCCCUGGCGAAAUCCCACGGCUCAACCGUGGGGCUUGCUGGGGAUACUGCGGGCCUUGGGACCGGGAGAGGCGGGGGGUACCCCUGGGGUAGGGGUGAAAUCCUAUAAUCCCAGGGGGAACGCCAGUGGCGAAGGCGCCCCGCUGGAACGGGUCCGACGGUGAGGGACGAAGGCCAGGGGAGCAAACCGGAUUAGAUACCCGGGUAGUCCUGGCUGUAAAGGAUGCGGGCUAGGUGUCGGGUGAGCUUCGAGCUCGCCCGGUGCCGUAAGGAAGCCGUUAAGCCCGCCGCCUGGGGAGUACCGCCGCAAGGCUGAAC
rnacentral:rRNA from 1 species